rnacentral:rRNA from 1 species
AAGACUUUGCGCUUUUGGAGCGGCCGAUGCCUGAUUAGCUUGUUGGUAAGGUAAAAGCUUACCAAGGCUUCGAUCAGUAGCUGGUCUGAGAGGACGGCCAGCCACACUGGGACUGAGACACGGCCCAGACUCCUACGGGAGGCAGCAGUGGGGAAUUUUGGACAAUGGGGGCAACCCUGAUCCAGCCAUGCCGCGUGAGUGAAGAAGGCCUUCGGGUUGUAAAGCUCUUUCAGCCGGAACGAAACGGUUACGGUUAAUACCCGUGACUACUGACGGUACCGGAAGAAGAAGCACCGGCUAACUACGUGCCAGCAGCCGCGGUAAUACGUAGGGUGCGAGCGUUAAUCGGAAUUACUGGGCGUAAAGCGUGCGCAGGUGGUUUUGUAAGUCAGAUGUGAAAGCCCCGGGCUCAACCUGGGAACU